ACCCUCGGAUGCCUGGCUUAGCGCCGGAAGAAUUUCCUGAGGCAUAACCCUCGGAUGCCUGGCUUAGCGCCGGAAGAAUUUCCUGAGGCACAACCCUCGGAUGCCUGGCCUAAUGCCGGAAGAAUUUCCUGAGGCCUAACCCUCGGAUGCCUGGCCUAGUGCCGGAGGAAUUUCCUGAGGCCUAACCCUCGGAUGCCUGG
rnacentral:lncRNA from 1 species